rnacentral:rRNA from 1 species
AUUGAACGCUGGCGGCAGGCUUAACACAUGCAAGUCGAACGAGUGGCGGACGGGUGAGUAAUGUUUGGGACUCUAGCUUAUGGAGGGGGAUAACUACGGGAAACUGUAGCUAAUAACGUGUACCAUAGUAUGCGCCCAAGUGGGGUUAGGUAGUUGGUGAGGUAAAGGCUCACCAAGCCGACGAUCUCUCGCGGGUCUGAGAGGAUGAUCCGCCACACUGGGCCUGAGACACGGCCCAGACUCCUACGGGAGGCAGCAGUGGGGAAUUUUGGACAAGGGGCGCAAGCCUGAUCCAGCCAUGCCGCGUGUCUGAAGAAGGCCUUCGGGUUGUAAAGGACUUUUGUCAGGGAAGCGGUACCUGAAGAAUAAGCACCGGCUAACUACGGGCCAGCAGCCGCGGUAAUAC